rnacentral:lncRNA from 1 species
AUGAAGGAGCUAUUGACUAAUCAGGAAAUAUUGAAAAAUGACAAAGAACUGCUGAAGAGAGACAUGGAAGAUCUGCAACAAAAACUAGUCAAUGUAGACAGAGACUCAGAGAGUCUGAAACAUGAGAGAGAAGCUUUGGAGAAUGAGAAGGAAGUAAUAAAAAAGAUCAAAACUGACCUGCAAAGAGAGACACAAGAGUUUGACAAGAUCAAACUACAAACACAACAGAGUUUGGAAAAGAUGGCUGAAGAACUUGAGAAAGAGAAAGAAAAUAUUCUUCAUCUUGCUGAAGAUACAAAGAGAAAACAUGAGAUUCUGGAUGAAAUGAAAGCUGCAAGUGAGUCUUCAAUGGCAGAUCUACAAAGAGAGAAAAACAACCUUAAAGAAAUGAAAUUGAACAUCUCCAAACAAAUUGAUGAUCUUGAAAAUGAGAAAGAGAAAAUAAAACUCAGACAAGAUGAACUAGAGCAACUACAAGCAGAGAAUCAAAAACAACAAUGUGAAUUGAAAAACCUCAAAGAAAUCAUCAUGACUGAGAAGCAGCAGCUUGAUCUCAGAGAGACUGAAAUACAAAAACAUCAGAAGGAGCUGCAUGACAUUGUGGAGAUAGCAAAGAAUGAAAAGAGCAUUGCUGAAACUCAAAAAGCUGCAAUGAUUAGGGAAAAACAGGACAUGAUGACUGAGCUGAGAAAGAAGUCUGAAGAUGUUGAGCUUCAGAUGAAGCAGAUAUUGACUGAAAAGGAAAUAUUGGAAAAUGAUACACAACUGCUGAAGAGAAACAUGGAAGAUCUGCAACAAAAACUAGUUAAUGUAGACAGAGACUCAGAGAGUCUGAAACAUGAGAGAGAAGCUUUGGAGAAUGAGAAGGAAGUAAUAAAAAAUAUCAAAACUGACCUGCAAAGAGAGACACAAGAGUUCGAGAAGAUCAAACUACAAACACAAGAUGAAAGACAAAAACUGGAGGAAAUGACAGCUCAACUCCAGAAAGAGAGAAAAGAAAUCAAUGAUCUUACUGAAGAGACCAAAGGAAAGAACAAAGAAAUUCAAGUUAAAAUGAAAGAAAUUCAAUCUGAUAGAGACAUGAUUGAGAAGGAAAUGCAUGAUCUCGAGAAAAUCAAACAUGAACUUGCUAAAGCAAAGGAGGAUCUAGAAAAAGAAAGAGAACAGCAAGGAAUCAUACUAGCAGAGAUACAGAAUGAGAAGGAAGUAAUAAAAAAGAUCAAAACUGACCUGCAAAGAGAGACACAAGAAUUUGAAAAGAUCAAACUACAAACACAAGAGGAAAGACAAAAGCUGGAGGAAAUGACAGCUCAACUCCAGAAAGAGAGAGAAGAAAUCAAUGAUCUUACUGAGGAGACCAAAAGAAGAGACAUGGUCUUGGAUGAAAUGAACACAGAAAUUGAAGUGAAAACUAAAGCCAUUCAAUCUGAUAGAGACAUGAUUGAAAAGGAAAAACAUGAACUUGAGAAAACCAAACAAGAACUUGCUAAAAUCGAAAAAGAUCUUGAAAAGCAAUUUGCUGAGCAAGAAGAAAAGAAUGAAUUCAUACGGGCAGAGAUACAGAAAGAGAGAGACAACCUAAAGGAGAUGAAUGAGACCAUCACAAGACAAAUACAUGAAAUUAAAAAUCAAGAGGAACAAAUGAGACAAAAACAACAUGAACUCGAACAACUGAAAACUGAAAUUCAGAAUCUGCAGAGAGAACCAGACAAUGACAGAAACAUUAUAAUAAAAGACAGAAGUCAGCUUGAUCUGAGACAGUCUGAGCUAGACAAACAACAGACAGAAGUGAGUCACAUUAUGGACAAAAUGAGAAAUGCGAGAAGCCAACUAGAUAAAGAUAAACAAGAGAUUGAGAAACAGAAACAGCUAUAUAUUAUUUAAAUAUGAAAAAUGAUAAAUUAUUAGACUUAACACAGCAAUUAAAAUUAUUAAUAAAUUGUAUAUAUAGAUAGAUAGAUAGAUAGAUAGAUAGAUAUAGAUAGAUUGAUUGAUUGAUUUAUACUGACUGACUGAUAUAAUCCUACUUACCCAGCUCACCAAAGGCCAUAGCCUUAUGUCCUGAGCCACACCACAGAGUCCCUGGAAUCAUCCAUGCUCGCUUUGAGCGGUGCAGCGUCAGUGUGGAGCUUUCUCCACUGUCCUGGUGCUCAAAUCCAUCAGGUUCAACGCUCCUCAGGUCUCUGGCCCUCCGUACAGAUGCUGUAAAUUCCUCUGUAAUGCCUGCAGCCUCACAGGGGCCAUGAGGAUCAAUCAGAUCCCUGAUGUCAAAGCGUUCAUCAAGGGUCUUUGAGAAAGAACUGUCCUCCCAGCACCUGGACAGGUAACUCUCAAUCACAGAUUGCUCAUCACUUGUCAUGCAGCUAAAAAGGCUGUUGUUUUUGUUCCAGAUGCUGUCAUACAAGAGAAGAGACGUCUGAGUUCUUCGGAGAAAUGCAUACUGUGUUUGACCACCUGAAGCGGAUCUAGUCCAAAUACAGAACGUGUCAGAGCUGUCAGCACUGAAACAAGCAUGAAACAGCAUGAAAAGAUACAGAACUGCCUGUAAAAGCUGGCUGCUUUGCAUUUUUAUGGCAAAAUUAAUAACUGUACAGCUAUUUUGUGAAUGAAUGAAUAGCCAGAGGUGCUGCAGGUUAACUGGGUUUUUAACCCCUCAUCUCUGGCAAAGAGCGCGCCUCAACACAGCCUUAUUUAUACUCCGUAUGUGGGUUCUUCCUUGCAUCGUGGCUCAUGGCCACAUCAGAACAGACGGGGUGGGAUGAUACAAGGGGGUGUGUCUUUGGUAAAUACAGACUUGGAAGCACAGAUGUCUGCACACACAUGUACACAAAAGAUGUAAAUCAGAUCAUAAACCCUCCCCGUUUCCUGGGUUCACACGAGUAGAAUUAUCUCUCCGGCUGAUCACUAUCGUUUUUUAUUAGUGUCAACAAUGUCCUCCAGCAGUAAACAUUUAAUAUCUUGGUACUCAUGAUGAAAUAAUGCUUUACAACAUGACAAAAAGAUUCAAACUCCAUGUGGGAGGAGAAAGAAACAUGCGAUCCAAAACUAUUACAUUUAAGUGUUCAGGUUAAAUUAGGUCGGCAUUUGUAUUCUGUGCAUUAUUAGGCUAUAUGAAAGUUUUAUAAAAUCAUUAAGUGCCUAUUUAUUUAGCAUGCUGUCUGCACAUAAAUUGAAUUUUUUACCAGUCAUAAAUAUUUAUUACUAGCCACAAACCAUAUUUUGCAUUUAUUUAUUUACAAAUGCAAAAAAAAAGUCCCUAAAAUAAUUACUUAGUUGGAUUUUUUUUAUUGCAUAUUAAUAACUAACAUAUUUCUUACAGGCAAUUCCUUUCUCUCUGUAAAAUUGCAG